rnacentral:rRNA from 1 species
UCGGGAAUUUUGGGCAAUGGGCGAAAGCCUGACCCAGCAACGCCGUGUGAAGGAUGAAGUAUUUCGGUAUGUAAACUUCGAAAGAAUAGGAAGAAUAAAUGACGGUACUAUUUAUAAGGUCCGGCUAACUACGUGCCAGCAGCCGCGGUAAUACGUAGGGACCAAGCGUUGUUCGGAUUUACUGGGCGUAAAGGGCGCGUAGGCGGCAAUUCAAGUCAUCUGUGAAAUCUCCGGGCUUAACUCGGAACGGUCAGAUGAUACUGCUUUGCUAGAGUGCAGAAGGGGCAAUCGGAAUUCUUGGUGUAGCGGUGAAAUGCGUAGAUAUCAAGAGGAACACCUGAGGUGAAGACGGGUUGCUGGGCUGACACUGACGCUGAGGCGCGAAAGCCAGGGGAGCAAACGGGAUUAGAUACCCACGUAGUCCCUGAGCGGG